rnacentral:rRNA from 1 species
CCCUACGGGAGGCAGCAGUGGGGAAUUUUGGCCAAUGGGCGCAAGCCUGAUCCAGCUAUUCCGCGUGUGGGAAGACGGCCUUCGGGUUGUAAACCACUUUUGUAGAGAACGAAAAGUCUAUUGAUAAUACCGAUAGACGAUGACGGUACUCUAAGAAUAAGCACCGGCUAACUACGUGCCAGCAGCCGCGGUAAUACGUAGGAUUCGAGCGUUAUCCGGAUUUAUUGGGUUUAAAGGGUGCGUAGGCUGUUGGAUAAGUUAGAGGUCAAAUGUCGGGGCUUAACCCCGUGCCUGCCUCUGAUACU